GGGUGCUCGAGUGGCGAACGGGUGAGUAACACGUGAGUAACCUGCCCUUGACUUGGGAUAACUUCAGGAAACUGGGGCUAAUACCGGAUAGGAGCUCCUGCUGCAUGGUGGGGGUUGGAAAGUUUCGGCGGUUGGGGAUGGACUCGCGGCUUAUCAGCUUGUUGGUGGGGUAGUGGCUUACCAAGGCUUUGACGGGUAGCCGGCCUGAGAGGGUGACCGGCCACAUUGGGACUGAGAUACGGCCCAG
rnacentral:rRNA from 1 species